UCUUCCUUCGAGGCGUAGACCGGAGAGUUUCAGAGUUCAGUUCUAACUUCUAAGAAUGGAAGAGUGCAGUGUAUUCUCCUCCUUUCUGUCUCGAAUGACUUCUUCAUCAUCAUCCUCUGUGGUUUUGGAACGGAGGGGCAUUCCAGGAACUGCAUUCGUGGAGGAUGUUCAAGCAUAUCUCACACAAUCAGGCUUGGAUUUGAACUCUUCCCCCUGCAUUUCUUCAUGAAAGGUCAGGCUUUUUAAUUUACUCAUGUGUCCGUGAUCUUAAUCGGCCAUUAUGUCUUGAGAAGUUCAGUUCAGAUUCUGAGUUUCCAGCUUCUACCUACGAUUUUGUUGGAGGUUUUCAUGAUUAGUCGUGUUGUGGUGGUUUUGGAUGAAUGGACAAUUUGAUGAUUUUGUGAUCAUCUAUGUAUUACAGCACUUUGAUUUCUCUUAACCUUGAUUAAUGGAUUGAUAUGGACGCGCAGAAAAUAGUAAAAACUUUUCUUUUUGUCGCAUCGAAUAUGCUUUUUGCGUUUAUAUAUAGUUCCUUCUGUUAUUGGUGAUUAAUAUUGGAGUCAUAGACAUGGGGGUCGAAGCACAUCCGGUCAACUAAUUGAGUCAUUAAAUAGUCUCUUACCAGGUUAAGUGAAUAGCAUUUUCUUAUACGCAGUAAUCAAACAACCAUUACCUCGAACUCGGUAGCCACGUACCAAAAGCAAAAGAAAGAAAAGAAUUUGGACACAAUUUCUUCCCAAAUUGUUACUUCUUGAUUGUUGGAAAGUUCAGUUUCUUCUUUUCUUCGUUGAAUAUCAUUCCAUUUCCAAACUCUGAUUACUUUCCUUUUUUUCUCAAGUUAGUUACUGAUCUUCAACCUUUAAAGUUGUUUACUCCUAGAUGCUGAUCUAGCAUCGCAGUCCCAGAUUUGACACCUAUAAAUUCUCUAAGUUCCUUCUGCAGGGGAAACAAUGGUUACUUUAAUGUACAGUUCUAUUUAGUGAAUUAGGCCUUCUGAGCCUCCUGAUGGCUGCUUCUAAUUAACAAAUUCCUAUCCUUAUUAAGAAUACAUUCUCCCACCUAACCACAAGCGGAUUGCAAGGUCCCAGCCUAGAAACUCAAAAGGAACUUCCAUGACUGAACUGUAGAGAAACCUAAAAUGAGAGAAUAUGGCUCUUCAUUGGACCGAACUUUUUGUCCUUUUAAGCAGUGAAUCUUACCAUAUUUUGUUGGAUUUCACUGAAUUAAUAAUAUGUAUGGUAAUUUUGUCCAAUGUUUAAAUGUGCAAGAAGCAUGAAAUGGGGCACCAAAACCUUUAGAUUUGUGAGGUAUAAGCCUUGAGGUGUAAGGAUUAAAAUGAAAUUAAAAUGUUAGAGGUGCAUGUUUUCUACAUGAAGACCACAUUAAUGAAAUGUUGAUAAAGUAAACAAGAACCAUGGGAAUGUUAUGAGCUUUAGAGAAAGCAAUUGCAUUUAGAAACCAUUUAAUAACUAGAAAAAAAAGAUUUAAACGUAAAGCAAUACCUCUUUAAAAUGUUAGAGCAUAGGUACUAUUACAAAUACAUACAUAACACACACACACACAUAGGCAUCUCAAGGUAAAACUUGCAAUCCAAAUUACUUUAUAAUGUUGAUACUUCCUUCUUUUCAUGCACAGAUGACCAUCUCAAAAUUUUAGUCCACUUUCCACUCUCGUCUCUUCUCUUGCUUUCUUUCUCUGCUCACAUGCAUUUGCACAUGCUACUCAACCAGAGCUCCUUUCCACUGCCACUUUUUUCCCCUGUUUCAAAUCCAAAAACCAAAAACAGAAAGAGAAUAAAGGAAGAUAUAAUAUUAAGAUGACAAGCAUAAGAAUGUGAGUUUUUUCUGAGAAGACCUACUUUGUACAAAAACUUUCGAAGGUUAGGUCCAUAUCUAGUCCACCCCUCCCAUGAGCUUAAAUAGCUAGGACCAACAUUGGUUAAUGGCCCAGUAUAGGAUGGUAUAACUUCAUGUACAUGAUGAGUUUUAAAGCCAAAAUAAAUAAAUAGAUAAGCAUUACCUGGGUAAAAAUGGUCUACAGCCCACUAUCUCCUGCCUCUGAAUGGUCUACAGCCAUUCAUCAUUUCAUCCACAAUGCCUUUGAAUUUUCUUGAUUAGGUUUUAAUUAGUAGCAGAGAAGGCAGAAAGGUUAUCAUUCUUGCAUCCCUUCUUAAAUACCUUAGGUUGUCUUUCUCUAUGAAUUUGUGGUUUCUGAAACAUCUGGUGGAAUAUACUCAAAUCAUUAGUUGGGUAUAUGGCUCAUUUCAGGGCCUUGUAAGCUUAGCCUUCCCAUUAGAGAGGCAAGAUCCUUAUCCAUGAGAUUGAACUCUUUCUCCUAUCUCCCUAUCCAUGAGGUUCGGAUCUUGGAAUUCUAAUGUAUUUUUUAUCAUUGUAAUUCGUAUUUGAUCUUAUUACUGAUCCAAAAAAAUCAAAUUAACAAGGUGAGGUAAUGACCCUUUUCUCAUGUUGAUUUGCUCUAUUGUCUAAGAGCUGAAAAUUAUGGGAGAAGAGGUUCAGUGUUCAAAACACAUGACCCAUAUUGAGUUGUUCAUUUGGUGCUUAAUAUGGAAAAGGGACCAGCUUUAAUGAAUGCAAAGUUUUGUGUAAUGCAUUCAAGAGUUUGACUUACUGCUGUUCUCAUUUUAUAUCUUAUAAAGAAAUUCAUUGAACUAAUUCUAGAGGGAAUAACGUCCCAAAGUAUGUAAGUUAGAAUUUGAGCAAUCUAUUAACACCUUGAUACGUUAUUGGUCAGAAAAAAAAAUGAUUCAUUUUGGACUUAUUUGUUGCCUAAUUUGUAUUGAUCUUUUAUUCAUGCUCAGCAGAGGGAUUUCAGGUACUUUAUCUUCUUGGUCUAGUUUACUGAUGUUCAAACUUAUCAAUCUCACACCCAUAGCACAAAACUCAAAUGACCUGACUUAACUUUGUACUUGUUGGGUUUGAUAAGAAACAUAUAAUUUUUUUUUUUUUGGUGAAUAAGAAACAUAUAAUUGAACCUGAUAGUAGCUUCUUGGUAUUUUUGAGUCAACUUGGAAGAAUUGAUAAACUGAUUUGGGAAAUGGUUGUUUUUUGUCACAUUUUGUUGUAGCUUUAAGUUGGAAGAUAAAAUAGUAAAUAGUUUUAAUUUUCAACUUUUUUUCAAUAUUUUGUUGCUUAAACAGACAAAUUAAAUCAACUUUUGUUUAUAUUUUCUUGUUAGACUUUAAAUUUGAUGCCAAAAUUGGCUUUCAGUUGCAUGUUGGAUUAAAUUAGAAAAUCCUCUUCUCUCAAGUGGUAUUCAUUCUAUUGAAGCUUAACAAGUAGAGAUCUCCAUUUUUAUGUUAAACAUUAAAUAAAAGUUCUUGAUGCUCAAGUUGAAUGAUAUCAUUCCAUUUUUCAAAUACAUAGUUACUGCUUGGUUUCCCUGUGAGUUUCUUUUAUAACUUGCAUUGUUCUCUCCGCUCUCAUAGUGCUGUCGAAACUCACUUUUUUGCUUCUUGUGUGUACUAGGCAAAGGUACCUGACGUAGGGAAGUGCUUAGAUAGCAAUCUGAAAAGGGUACCGGUGCUGGUUGCUGAUUUUGAAUUAUCUCUACGUUCUUGAAUCAAGGAAACAGACACACAGACUGUCUGUGGUUGGGAGGAAAUGUCAUGCUUGAGUACUCAUGUCAAGAGGCUACUGCUUUUUUUGCAAAAGAAUCUAGAAAAUGCUAAACCCAGCAUGCAAGUACUUGUUGCUGACCUGCAGUUCCCAAGGGACCAAGUAACAAUAAUUCAGACUCAAACAAACUCCUACUGCUGUGAAAGACUCCUGAAGGUUAUUAUUUUACUAGAACAGCUAGUACAAAUUGGACAAACUAGGAGAACUCCCUUUCUAAGUUUGAAAUCUACUUUCAGUGGAGAGAAUGGUGGGACCAGAUGCAGUUUCAGCGUGAAAGCAAUUUGUCUUCCUCAUUGCAAUUUGCACUCAAUAAAGUGGCAUUGUCAGCAUCGUCGACAUGGGAUGAUAUCGAUACCAUUUCUAUCAGAAGAAUUGCAAAUAUUUAAUUUCCUAUGUAUGAGUCAUGGGAUCUUUUGUAUUCAGUCACCCUGUUUCAUGGCUGGGUCAACUGAUUAAAUCGAAUAAUCUUUAAUUCUUUAUUUACAAAGAAACAAAAAAACUGUAUUCCCAACUCCCAAGCUGCAAGUUACUGCCUCACAGUUUUGUCUGUCUGCAUUUGAUGAGUUC